CGCCUAUUCUCAAAAUUUCAGCAAGAGCAUAGGAAUUAUGGAACUGUGCUUGAAAAGCUGCAAGAACUAUGCUCAGCCUUUUCAUCAGCAUCCAGUGUAUCCCCGAGUGUUUGCUGCCGCCACCACGAGAGCUUGGAGGUUCAUAAACCCAAGACCACACAGCAAUAAAGAGAAACACUUAAAUCCAAG
rnacentral:lncRNA from 1 species